GAUCAUGGCUCAGGAUGAACGCUAGCUACAGGCUUAACACAUGCAAGUCGAGGGGCAGCAUGAACUUAGCUUGCUAAGUUUGAUGGCGACCGGCGCACGGGUGAGUAACACGUAUCCAACCUGCCGAUGACUCGGGGAUAGCCUUUCGAAAGAAAGAUUAAUACCCGACUGGCAUAGUUCUUCCGCAUGGUAGAACUAUUAAAGAAAUUUACGGUUCGAUCGAUGGGGAGGUGCGUUCCCUACUUAGG
rnacentral:rRNA from 1 species